rfam:Schistosoma margrebowiei strain Zambia genome assembly, scaffold: SMRZ_contig0003861
GCACUGCUGAAGAGUCCCACAACAGGACGGAGCGACCGUCGAGUGC